rnacentral:rRNA from 1 species
UACGUAGGGGGCUAGCGUUGUCCGGAAUCAUUGGGCGUAAAGAGCGUGUAGGCGGUCCGGUAAGUCCGCUGUGAAAGUCGGGGGCUCAACCCUCGAAUGCCGGUGGAUACUGUCGGGCUAGAGUGCGGAAGAGGCGAGUGGAAUUCCUGGUGUAGCGGUGAAAUGCGCAGAUAUCAGGAGGAACACCUAUUACGAAGGCAGCUCGCUGGGACGUAACUGACGCUGAGACGCGAAAGCGUGGGGAGCAAACAGG